GGAGAAGGGACGUAGCUCAGGGACAGAGCAUCUGUUUUGAGUGCAGAAGGUUCCAGGUUCAAUCUCUGGUUUCUCCA